GAUCGCCAAGUAACAAACCUUACCUAUUCACUUUCACUAUCAUUGGCAGAGUUCUAUCAGCACAACAGCAGCAGCAUACUGCGCAGGGAGAGAAGAGACUGGUCUCUAGACCCUCCCUAGCCCAGUACAGCACACAGCAGGAAUUGUUUAUGCUGGGGAGGGAGUCUACUACUGAGCUGCAGCAGUCUCCUCUCCCUCCCUGCAUGAUGUACUGCUGCCACUGCACUGCUAUACAGUGGCUAAAGGUAGCGGACAGGUCUAUGUAUCAGCUGCCUAAAGGGACAAUUUGGAUUGAAGAACGAUAGAUAAGAUGACAGGAAUAUUGUCCCAAAGAAGGGACAGAUGGGAGUAGAUCCCAUCAAGUUGAAUGGUUUGAAGUAAGUGAUGGAAAGGGGGAAGAAAAGUUGAAAAAGAGAGAGAGAAGACGAGACGGGCACAAACAUACAAAAGGAGAAGGAAAAUAAAGGGCACUUCUGAUCAACUGUAAGAAGAUAUAAGGGAAGAUACAAAACGGAGAAAGUGUGUGGGUUGUGCUUUUACGGUAAUCUGUUUGUAAUCUGAGUGUAGUGACAGAAUAAUGAACACCAAUCAUGCCCGUUGUGGUGCAUUCUUACUUCAUCUAGCUACAAGAAUGAUGGCAUAAUUAGGCAGCAAAUUGCGAAGAGCGCGAAGGAAAGAACUUAUGCAGCAAUUGGAAAAUAUGUGAUUUAGUGAGGUCAACUAAAACUGUCAGUGGUGGAGCGGGAACUAGAUAUAUAUGACCUGGGAAUAGUGUUUAGGUACCUGCACGACAUAGCAAUCUGUUAUAUCCAGUAGAAUGUGAUUAGAAUCAUUAUUUGAUAAUAAAUAGAACCGAAUUGUUGACGUGUACAAAUUGGCAAUUCAUGUCGGCAGUAAAUCACAAAUCACUGACUCUUCCACGCUGAAAGUUGUACGUAAACUGCUGGUGCUUUAUACCUACAGGGUAAUAAUAAUAACGUAGAGAGAGAUACUAAUAAGUUGUUAGCCUAUGACAUGAUCUGUUUUACUGUCUACAAAUAUAUUACAGUAGUACUAAUUAUAUUGUGGCACAUGCCAUCAAAUACAUUUAUGCUAAAAUCAGUUUUGUUUAUCACGUGUUUUUAAUAUACAAUACAAAUUAAUGUUGCUAUAUAUUCCCAUUGUACAGUAUGUCAUUACUGCAUCACACAAAAUGUAUUCUUAUAAUUCUUUUAUGUCUGAGUUGCUGCUAUAUUAUUGGCUGAUUAUAUAUUUUCAUAAAUAAGCAGGUGUACCAAUAAAGUGAUC